rnacentral:rRNA from 1 species
UACGUAGGUGGCAAGCGUUAUCCGGAAUUAUUGGGCGUAAAGAGCGCGCAGGUGGCUAAGAAAGUCUGAUGUGAAAGCCCACGGCUUAACCGUGGAGGGACGUUGGAAACUGCUUGGCUUGAGUGCAGAAGAGGGAAGUGGAAUUCCAUGUGUAGCGGUGAAAUGCGUAGAGAUAUGGAGGAACACCAGUGGCGAAGGCGGCUUCCUGGUCUGUAACUGACACUGAGGCGCGAAAGCGUGGGGAGCAAACAGG